CCACCAGGAUGGAAAUAACCGAACUACAUCUGAAGGGGAAGAUCUAUGCAUGAGUUACUAACAAUAGGAGGGGUGGGAAUUGUUUCAUAAGGAUGAUCUCAAUCAUUUCAUCAUAACAUAUCUUAUCCACUCUAUGCUAAUUACGCAUGAACUCCCACCAACGAAUUGACACUGGAAUAAAUAUUCCACAUUAAUUCUCACGUGUAUUUCUCAUCCCAUAUCAAACAAGGGAUUCUAGCGAAAGGGAAUGGGAGUUGAAACGGUAUGUGAUAUUAAAUCAUCCGAGGAUGAUCUCAAUCGUUCAUCGUAUCUUAUCUUAUCCACUCUACGCUAAUUACGCAUGAACUCCCACCAACCAAACACCGGAAUAAACAUUUUGCAUUUGAUUCUCACGUGUAUUUCUCAUCCUAUACCAAACAAGGGAUUGGGACUACUAAAUAUAUAUCAAUCUCACAUGUCUAAUCUCGUCUAAUCUCCCUCCUAUGAACUCGCAUUUCUCUUCCCACAUAUUGCCAAACACGUUGUUGGUCCAUGGUAACAUGAUGUGUCCGGUGGUUCAGUUGGGACCUCGUGGCUUUCCCCUAAAUUUCUAUGAUGUCAAAAAAAAAUCUAGAGAGUCGUGGAGUUUUGAGAUAACAUAUGGAGUCAGGAUUUAGAUAUAUGAGAGAAAAGUAGAGGACAUUCGAGUUUGGAGUGAACCAGGUAGAUAUAAUACCAUUAACCUUUUAUUUUUCAUUUUUAUAUUUUACUAAUUUUUCUCAUUAAAUUUUUUUUAUAGGGGCCAAUCGGCCGCUUCAGAUUCAAGAAGCCACCGCCGACGCUUCGUCCAUCACCACUAUCAUCAAAAGAAUGUUCUUCUUUUAUAAAGAAACAUAAGUCAUCAAAACUAUGGGCUUGAUCUCUCGUGUGGUCGAAGUACAACUACCCUCCUAGGCUCCUAGCCGUCCAACCAAUGCUUUGGAUUCACAAAGAUGCCGUAACAAAAAUUAACAGUCAUAAUUUUGUUACGGUGUCUUUGUGAAUCCAAAACAAUUGUGUAAGAGUGAAAGUACUUUUAGAGAUCGUUAACUCAUACAUGCGAUCUUUAUGUAUACCGGCGCAUGCGUCUAUGUUUGGAAACCAUG
rnacentral:lncRNA from 1 species